GCCGGCGUCGCAUAACUUGGCAGUGCGCCAGUCUCGAAAACUGGUGUCCUUCGGACAUGCAGGUUCAAAUCCUGCCGCCGGCG
rnacentral:tRNA from 1 species